UAAAUUACAUGUUUAAAAGGUUUGCAGUGCUUCAGACACUGUUGAACAAAAAUGUAAUUGUUGAAUAUCUAUCCAAACAGGCAUGGGGUUUCCUGAUACAUUAUGCGUUUUGUUUCUGCCCUGCCUUAUUAUUUUAGUCUCAUGGGUCCUCAGAGUUGCCAUCAUACAUAAAUUAGAAAUGUCUUAAAAAAAAAGAGAGAUGUCCAAGGAUAUCUUCAGGAAGGUUGCUUUAAGUGAUACUUUUUUUAUUUUAAAAUAACCCACUUUAUAUGUAUGGUCUAUUGGUGUAAGCACCCAUGGAUAAGUUAUUGCUUGCACAGAAUUUACUGAGUACAUUAUGAACUAUUGCAAUUUUUCCAGUCACUUAAAUAGAAAGUAGAUUGGAGUUAGUUACUUUUUACCAAGGAAAUAAAGUUAAAGUCAGUGUUCGUUUUUAUUAAUUUUCAGCUUGACCUUUGCAGGACGUUAGUCUCCAUUUGUACAUAUAUUAUUUUCUUGUUUAUGAAACCAAAAAUGAGUCAACACCCCUCCCAUGAGUACUGACUUAAUAACUAAGAUGCACAAGAGUAUCUAGAUGGAUGUGGUCAGAUACUUCUUAGCCAUUUUUACCUUCCCUGUGAUCAGAAUUUGGUACAAUAUAAUUAAGACUUUCAUCUAAAAUUUAAAGUAGUUUUUUAUUCUGAGGAAAACGUAUUAUCUGUAUUAUUUACAUGCAACAAAAUAAAAGUGGAUUCGUAUAUUAAUGCCAUGGUAACAAUAAAAAGGUGUAAGUUAUAUCCUAUGCAUGAGGGCAAUUUUUGAUGUUUUAAACGCAUCUGACUUAUUUUUGGUUUAAUGAAUGCUGAGAAUGCUGCUAUAUUUAGGUUUCCAAUGAUAAUUUUUAAGAAUGGCUAUGACAACAUGUAGAAGCUUCUAGAGGACUGAAAGUAAUAAUGCAUAGUUGCCUUUUCUAGUCCAGCUAAAUGGCAGACCUCAACUAAAAAUAUCUUCUUUGGGUUCUUGGAGUUACCGAGUUGACCUUGCCAUUAUAUUGUUUUGCAAAAAAGAACUUGAGAAAUAAAUGAUUCUUAUCUAAUAGCCACAAUCUAUACACAUUUGCUGUCAGUUUAUAAUAGUUAUUUCAUAUCCAUAUAUAUUUAAAAAUUAGAAUUAAAAAAUCGAAAGAAUUUGUAGAUUUUGUGACAAUAAUGGUUUAUGUAUGCCUGAUAUAUGCCUUAUUUUUUAAAGGGUUCCAUUCUAUACUGGGUCAUUUUGUUAUUGUUGUUCAGAGAAAUUGAGAUCUUAUUCACAAAGAAAAACAUUUUUAUAAGUUGAUCACAUUCUAUUUAAAUCAAAAUGUUAAACCUAGAUACAUUAGACUUCGCAAUUUUUAAUUGCAACGAUGCCUGGGCAUGCCAUGAAAAACACAAAGUAUCCAACUUAAUUGUUGUAAAUUAUUAUCAGCAUUAACCUACUAACUUUAAAGAAAGACUGUUAGUAGGAUUCUGACAACUUCAUCUGAAUUUUCAAGCUGCCAAAUAAUCUUCACAGACCUAACUACAGAUAGAAAUACUAUUUCCUGGAUGAGAAGAGUAUAUAAAUGUGAAUUUGAUUAAUACAAUGAGCAACUGUACUUUUUAAGCAGUUUUAUUAUCAACACUUCUGGAAGCACAUCUCUAAGAAAUAUUUUCUAAGUAUUUUUUUUAAAUAGAGGAAAGAAAACUCAUUUCCCUAGAACAUCUUAAAAAUAUCUUAGUCUAUUUCUGAUUAUUUUUAUCUAUUGUGAAUACAAAUGAGUUAGAUUAAGUGCCACAUCUUUGGAUACAUUUCAGAGGGGAAGUGGGCAAUGGUACGCAAAAAUACCAAAUAGAAAAUUUUGCAUCUGGGGGCAUAUUCAGGUUCUGAAUACUAAAUUAGACUGUAAGUUUUUAAAAUUAUUAUUACACUGGAAGUUGUUUUAUUGUGAUUUCCUACAAGUAGUAAAUACAUUAGAAGAUUUUUUUUUCUUACCAGGGAAUAAUUUGAAAUAGUAUUGGUAUAUUUGACCCUUUUGAGUGUUUGUCAUCCUCAACGAAUGAACCGUAGUGGCUUGCCUCAAUCCUUUUGUCGUUCUUAUGAGAUAUUUUGGUUUGUUAGCUUUUUUUCUUUUUUUUUUUCUCCUGAUGCACAGGGUAUUUAUAUGUGAGACUUUGGUUGGUGUUAAUAGGAGUUAACCAUUUAAAUCCCUCAGCCAUCCCUCAGCCAUCACUGAGCUCGUCAUCAAUUUCUGUAGUUCAAAUUAAUCAAACUAGAGCUCAAACAAGACUAAUACGGUAAAAAUGUAAAAGUUACGGUGUGAAAUGUGAAUUUUAACAAUGUUUAAGAAGAACAAAUAAGCACUUGCUUCCAGAACAUAAACACAUUUUGCACCUGCGUUAAAAGAAAAUUUUCUUUGUGAAUAAGAGCAAAGUGGCCUUUAGAGAAAAGAAACUUCAUUUAAAACCGUUUCUGUGAACAUCUUUCCAAGUUACAGCUAUAAUAAUGGAUUGAGGAGGCAAUAUGGAAAAGGCAGAAACUCUUGAUUUCAGGUGCGCAAAGGGCAUGGGCAGAUGGACGGUUCCUUGUGUGCAUUGCCUUUGAAAAAUUGGGCCUUAACUUAUAUGUAAAUAAGGAUGCUGUGUUCACAUCCCUCUUCUACCUAAAGUUGUCUUUAUUAGUCCAUAUUGUAUUAAACUUAGCUCAUAAGUAUUACUUUUAUAUUAUGUCAGUUUUUUUAAGUUGCAUGUUUAUACUGUUUGCUACAGUGUUUUCCAGUUUUGGUUUAAGACCAUCAGCUGUACGGAGAAGACAGAACAAUCACUAUUUAUUCAGUGUUGCUGCUUUACAUUUCCAGAGUAAGCUUUUGAUGCCAGGACAGUGACUGCUUGAAAGCUGCAGGAGCUCUAUUCCAGUGCAUUUUAUAUAUUUUUAGAAACCAAAUAAAUGCAGAUAACUAUUUAGUAUACUAAUUAUAUUAAACCAGCAGAAAUAUAAAGGCAAUAAAGUAUAUACAUAUAUAUAUGGGGGGAGGGAAAAGAUUAAAAAUAGGAUUACAGCCAGACAUGGUGAUAGCUCUAAAUGUAUUUCUCAAUCUGUCUUUCUUUAUUGACCCGAAGAGGAUUUGAGUUGCUGCAGCUUUAAACAGAAAAAUGCUAUGUCCACUAACUGUGGACACAUAAAUAUGCUUUUAGUACUGCUUUGCUUAUGUACAAGUAAAAUGUCUGUAAUCUGUAUUAUAUGUAAUUGUUCUUUUCUUUUGACUUUCAUUUCAAAAUGUAUAUUUUCUGAUUAUUAUCAUGAGCUGUAAAACAAAGGAUCAAUAUCUGAUAUUCUCCCAAAUAAUAAAUCUUCAGGAUUCACUGGGGCAUUAC
ensembl:lncRNA